rnacentral:rRNA from 1 species
GUGGGGAAUAUUGGGCAAUGGGCGAAAGCCUGACCCAGCGACGCCGCGUGAAGGAAGAAGGCCCUCGGGUUGUAAACUUCAGUCAACAGGGAAGAAACAAAUGACGGUACCUGUGGAGGAAGCCACGGCUAACUACGUGCCAGCAGCCGCGGUAAUACGUAGGUGGCAAGCGUUAUCCGGAUUUACUGGGUGUAAAGGGUGUGUAGGCGGGUCUGCAAGUCAGAUGUGAAAACUAUGGGCUCAACUCAUAGCUUGCAUUUGAAACUGUGGAUCUUGAGUGUCGGAGAGGUAAAUGGAAUUCCCGGUGUAGAGGUGAAAUUCGUAGAUAUCGGGAGGAACACCAGUGGCGAAGGCGGUUUACUGGACGAUUACUGACGCUGAGACACGAAAGUGUGGGGAGCAAACAGGAUUAGAAACCCGAGUAGUCC